GGUGUAGCUCAGUGAUAGAGCGCAUGCUUAGCAUGCAGGAGGUCCUGGGUUCAAUACCCAAUCUUACCA
rnacentral:tRNA from 1 species